rnacentral:lncRNA from 1 species
UUAUGUUUUACCUUUAAAGGAUGUAACGCUUCUGCGGCUCCUUUAUGAUUAAUAAAGUUAAGUUAUUUUAUUUAACUCGAGUCUAUGUGAUUUAAAUAAGUAUGUUUUGGUCAUUACCCUAUAAGAUGGGGUAUGGUUCGUAACAAGUGAUAUCAUAGCACAGUUCUAGGACAUCCCUUGAAUAUGAGACUUUGACAUAGUUGUGAAACAUAAGGAAAUGUCUCUAAAUUUAAAUUUUAUGAAUAUAAGGAAAUGGUAAGAAUACUGAG